GUGCUCGGUCAGGGGUAGGGCUCUGUCAGAUCUCCCGGGUCCCUUGGGCGCACCGCUGGGUUUAGACCAGAAGAAACUUCACAGGUUGGAUUGAAAAGCCAGAGGGGUCUAUGGAAAUUUCCAGGCCUGGCACUGGAAGGAGGAUCUCCCUGUCAGACAAAGGAGGAUCCCAAGCCCUUCCGUGGUCACCUACGGGUCAGAGCCUGACAAGCAGCAACUGCUCCUGAGGACCUUCAGACUUGGAGGAAGGACUUAGUAAGAACCUUGGAAACUGGACUUGGUGUAUACCUGCAAUCCCAGCUACUUGGGAGGAUGAGACAUUCACCUUUGGGAAGAGCCAUGGAGUAGACAGGACAUACGUUUUGGUAUCAGGCUGCCCUGGGUUUGAAUCAAAUCUCAUCACUCACAGACUAUGAUUGACUGCAGAAAACUGAAACUGCGGAGAGUGAAUCUGUGGGUCAGAGCAACUACUGGACUGGUUCCCUCCUCCUGGCUAACCUUGUUCUCAGUUGAGCCCAGCCUUUGCAGACACCCAGAGGCAUUGCUGGCGGCAGCCACUCCCAUCUUACACACCAUGGGGCUGACGUGCAGACUCUCAGGGCACUUACUCUCAGGGUUACGAGAGUAUAGGGGUGGCUUGGGAGAGUCUCCUUAAAUUCUGCACCCCAGAGCUUCCCCCAACCCACUGAGAUGUGUGGG
ensembl:lncRNA